UAUAAGCGACUAUACUGUGAAACUGCGAAUGGCUCAUUAAAUCAGUUAUGGUUUAUUUGAUGGUACCUUACUACUUGGAUACCCGUAGUAAUUCUAGAGCUAAUACAUGCAGGAAUUCCCGACUUUCGGAGGGAUGUAUUUAUUAGAUAAGAAACCAAUCCGCUUCGGCGGUUGUGUGCCGAGUCAUAAUAACUGUUCGAAUCGCAUGGCUUUACGCCGGCGAUGGUUCAUUCAAAUUUCUGCCCUAUCAGCUUUCGAUGGUAGGAUAGAGGCCUACCAUGGCGUUUACGGGUAACGGAGAAUUAGGGUUCGAUUCCGGAGAGGGAGCCUGAGAAAUGGCUACCACAUCCAAGGAAGGCAGCAGGCGCGUAAAUUGCCCGAAUCCUGACACAGGGAGGUAGUGACAAGAAAUAACAAUACAGGGCCAUCUUGGUCUUGUAAUUGGAAUGAGUACAAUUUACAUCUCUUCACGAGGAUCAAUUGGAGGGCAAGUCUGGUGCCAGCAGCCGCGGUAAUUCCAGCUCCAAUAGCGUAUAUUAAAGUUGUUGCAGUUAAAACGCUCGUAGUCGGAUUUCGGGGCGGGCCUGCCGGUCUGCCGAUCGGUACGCACUGGCGGGCGCGUCCUUCCUUCCGGAGACCGCGCCUCCUCUUAACUGAGCGGGCGUGGGAGACGGAUCGUUUACUUUGAAAAAAUCAGAGUGUUUCAAGCAGGCAGCUCGCUCUUGCAUGGAUUAGCAUGGGAUAAUGAAAUAGGACUCUGGUGCUAUUUUGUUGGUUUCGAACACCGGAGUAAUGGUCAACAGGGACAGUC
rnacentral:rRNA from 1 species